AUCUUCGACGACGUAACGGUCCUUUUUAAUUUCAAUCAACAAGGAAUCUUCGACGACGUAACGGUCCUUUAUAUAUUAUAUUUAAUCUGUUGUCGUACCUACUUUCUCUUCAAUGUAUCUUAAAUUACCUCAUUCUGUCUAUAUAAAGACCCUCUGAGAGGUUGAUGCAAAUCUCUAACUUCUUACAAUUCAUAGCUUACGUUAUUUCUCUAAGUCUGAUCAUGGCUUCUUACAAACUUUAUUUUACAGAUUUGAGGCCGUUGGAAAGAUAUUUUCUUGGACGCAAUGUUCCGUCUAAUCUUAAGAAAGCUGGUGAGCUGAUAGGCGUUGAUAUGGUGCGAGCGUUGAUACGGUGCUCAUCGAUUGGAAGUCUUCACAAAUCCGACAUCAAUCAAUGUUCACCGGCUCAACACAUCUUGAAAGAAGGAUGGCUUUAUGAACUACCUGUGUUUGGUGCUACAAGAAGCAACCCAAAUUUUUGAGUUGGUGACGCCCCUGUUGCUAUUAGGUUCAUGGAUCAAACAGUGUUCGUUGACUUAGCAGAAUAUAUCCACCCCAUCCCCAGGGAGAGAGCUUUUGGUUUCGCAAUUCCGACCAACUCAUGCUCUUGGCUACCACGAUCACAGUUUUGCGAGGGAUGAUGUCAGCAAGUUAUCCUUUCUUCACAUAGUCUUGAAGCCUCAUCUAAACCUGGUCCUUGCAAUAAAAAAAAUUGUUUUAGUCCCUAUACCAUGUUGGUUUUUAUGGGAGCUGACUAACAAAGGAUGUUCAAGCAUCCUUUUAAGUUUUGACAUGUAGCUUUGAUAGUCUUUUCCUAGAGUCUCCAAACCCCUUGAGUGAAGCGUGGGUUUCUAACCUAGAGCGUUCCUUCAUGUUAGUUUAUUGCGUCUUCCAGUCCUCAAUAUGUUUUGCCUUCUUCUCUUGGUGUCUUUCUCUCGUCUUGCUGAUCAAUCGAUUGAUUUUCAAAGUAAAUAACGGCAUGUCUACCCACGGGAGAAAGAGGAAGAAUCUCGCGGGAGCUCCUAUCAGGACAUAUUUGUUAGAGAGGCCACGGAUUUGUCAAUAUGCGUACCCUGAAAAACUAUCAUUUCUUUACCCGAUUUGUGCUGCACCAGAACAUCUCAGUCUGAUCGAUCUCUUCUAUGGACUACGUAAAUACAAGGAAAGCUAUGGACGGAAUUGGGAUACGAGUCUGGUGCUCAAGUGCUGUUCUUUUAAUUGUUUAUUAAGGCUCUUAGACAUAGGAAUAACUCUAUUGACAUUCUACUUUUGCAGGAUGAAAUCUAUCGUGUAGUAGUCCUUCACUUUUAAAUCUAAUAUAACAUUGGCAUGUACACUUGGAACGUCUACACUGAUAUACUAUUUUAAACAAGGUUUAAAUAUAAUAUAGUAUUUAUUAAAUAUAACAAUUGUC